ACCUUGUGUCAACAUAGACUUAGUCAUCUGUAUCACCCCAUUCUGAAUUUAUCGAUUACAAAUAUAAUAAAAAAAACAGUAUUUUAAGAAUAUCACAUAUUCAUAUUAGAAUUAUUCAAGAUGUGUGCAAAAAUGGCAUUUCAACACCAAGCCGGUACGGCUAUGGAGUGUUUAAGUAUUCCAAUAACUCUUCAUAAAGAGGUUGAUGGCGAUACUCUCCGUUGUGGAUUUAAAAUCGGAGGAGGAAUAGACCAAGAUUUCCAUAAAAGUCCUCAAGGAUAUACAGAUAAUGGCAUUUAUGUAACAGAAGUACAUGAUCAUAGUCCAGCGUCUAAGGCAGGACUUCGGAUUCAUGAUAAAAUACUACAAUGCAAUGGUUAUGACUUCACGAUGGUGACUCAUAAAAAAGCUGUGAGUUAUAUCAAGAAACAUCCCGUUCUAAACCUUCUUGUGGCAAGAAAAGGUGUCACAUCAACAUAAAACAAUUGUUAUUUAAAUUUGUAUGUAUUAUAUUAUAGUUGAAUGUAUGUGUGUAUAAAGGUCGAUUCUCACUAUACGUUCCGUUUACUUUCCAUAUCCGUGGCUUUCCGUUUACGUACAAUAUUAUUAAAUACAAAUCACAUAGUAUAUGCCCACUUUCCGUUCCUUUUCUACCAUUCCCGAAGCCUUUGGUAACAAGUCGUGAUGUGACAGGUAUGCUAUAGAUAGUGUGAAUAUUUUUAACCCUCGCGGUUUAGUUGAAGUUGUUGAGACAAAAUAUGAACGAUGAAAAAUUGAUAGAGCUUUGAGAAUAAGAUUCAGGUCGAGAGCAUUUAUACUGAUUUGUCAAAUGCCUUUUACAGGGUUAAUCAUAACCUGUUGGUUCACAAACUUCUUGCAUCCGGCAUUGUUAAUUGGAUUAAAAGUUUUUUGAUGGGAUGUACACAAGUUCGUUUUAACAAUUAUAUUUCAAAAUAAUUCCAUUGUUGUUCUGGUGUCCCACAAGGGUCUCAUUGUAGUCCCGUGUUUUUAACUUGUUUUGUAGAGAUAUCUUGCAAGACGGUGUAAAUAAUAUAUGUUUAUGGUCGAAACAUAAUGGUUUAAGCUGAAAUCCAACUAAAUGUUCUUGUAUUUCAUUUGGUCUUAUAAAUAUUUUAAUCUUAUCUAAUAGAUAUGUUUUUAAUGAUGUACUCUUGGAUUCAGUUACUGAGAUUAGAGAUUUUGGUGUAUUAUUGGAUUGUGCAUUGACAUUUAGAAGCCAUUUUCUUAAAAUUAAGAAAACAGGAUGUCGUAAUUUUGGUUUUAUUUAUCGUAACAGUCAUGAUCUCUCAUCUACAGUAUUAGAAUUAUUGUACGGCUCUCUGGUACACUCAGGUCUUGAAUACUGCUGUGUUGUUUGGCCUCCAUUUCAUCAGGUUGGGAACUGAUAUAUUAUUUCUGUUUAAAAUUCUAAACAACUCUAUUAAUUGUCCCUCGUUAUUAGACAAAUGUGUACUUAGACACUUGAAAAGUUGCCACCCCCUAUAAUUUGGUCCCUAUAGAAAAUCUAAAAAUAUACAAAAACACGUCAAAUUUAUUUAUAAGGGGGACAUUUUGUAGACCUAUAGAACUAAAUUACACUAACCCUCUAGCGGGGGCGGACACAACCCCCAAAAUAUUUAAUGGAAAGGGGGGUUGAGUGAUACCUCAUUUUAAAGGUCGUUCGAUUACCUUUUCAAAAAUACCACAUACAUUAUAUUUCUCUUCAAUAAUUUUGGAAAAAUCAAGUGAAACUGUAAAGAUAUUAAAUACAGUGAAACUUGGAUAAUUCGAAUCUCAGGGGACCGUUAAAAAAAUUCGAAUUAUCCAAAAAUUCGAAUUAAAAAAUAAAUCAACAAAAACAAGGAUUGCCUACAAAAACAUCUGCAAAUGAUAAAUAUCAGUAGUUGAUCAGCAAAAAAACAGCAGUUGAUCAUUUUUAUUGCUUGGAGAUGUUUUUGUUCCUAUUCUUGCACGAAUUUUGUCAACCUAAAAAAAUGGGCUAAAAAAUUCGGCCAAAAAUACCAAUUAAAACAUUUGAAAGCUAUAAAAAAGACCGACUUCAUUUUUUUUCCAAAGAGAUCCGAAAAUUUUAGCUGAUUUUUAGAAUUUAGCUUCUCAGUAAUGACAAAAGAUUCUAAGAUAUCCAGAAAAGAUAGCAGAAAAGUUCGAAUUAUCCAAAAUAUAAUUCGAAUUAUUCACGACUUUUUACCAUUACUUAAAUAGGAAAUAAGGACCAGAAUAAAAAUUCGAAUUAAAGAAGAUUUCGAAUUAAGCAGGUUCCACUGUAUCGAGUUCAGAACUCCAAAAAUUUUUUUGGAGUAUUGAACUCCAAAUUGAAUUUUUUUCGGGGUGUUGAAGUAUUUAGAGUGUUUUUUUGAAGUAUUUUUGGAAAAAUCAAGUAAAACCGUAAAGAUAUUAAGUAUCGAGUUCAGAACUCCAAAAUUUUUUAGAGUAUUAAGUCCAAGAUUUUUCCAAAAGUACAGAAAAGAAAUAUAAGGCAUGUGGUAUUUUUGAAAAGGUAAUUUAAUGACUUUCAAAAUGAGGUAUCACUCAACCCCUCUUUCCAUUAAAGAUUUUGGGGUUGUGUCCGCCCCCACUAUAGGGUUGAUGUAAUUUAGUUGAAAACUGGUCUACAAAAUGUCCCUCUCACAAAUAAAUCUGACGUGUUUUUGCAUAUUUUUAGAUUUUCUAUUGGGACCAAAUUAUAGGGGGUGGCAACUUUUGAAAUUGACACACUGUAGAACUCUCAACACACUGCACUUUUUAUAUUACUUUUCAUAGGACUGAUUAGGCUCGUCAUUUUCCCUUGCCUAGAAUGCUCAGCUUUUGCAAUGACCUGUUACUGUAUCCAUUCUGUCCAAACAUUAAUGUUUUCAAAAGGCAACUUAGAAGUUUAAUGAUCUAAAUAUGUGAUAUCUUUUUACAUUUUGUGAUUUGAUAUAUUGUUUUAAUGUACCUACAAAUUUUAAAUUGUUUAAUUGUCUCGUUUUCGUUGUUGUUUUGAUGUUUAUUGUACAUAAUCUUUACUUUUUACUAUUUUUUUUAUUUCAUUGUAAAUGGUUGUACCAUAUGAGUCAACUAUUCCUCGUCAGCCGUAAUGGUUGGGUGAAAAACAAAGUUUUAAUGUGUUUGUAACGUUUAAGUGGAUGUUUUUCAUGUUUUUUUCCUGUUCCGGGGUUGCACAAGAAAGCGCUUAGCUAAUGAAAUAUUAUAAUUUUACACACUUCAAUAUACAAUUUUUUCGCUUCCUUUAUUCAGUCAAGUGUGUACAAAAUUUAUCAGUCUUUCAAGUAUCCAAUAAAUAAAUAAACUUGUCUGGUGUAAUAACUUAUAUGAUUUUGAAAAUAAAAAAUACAGUAAUAAUACAUUUAAAGACAAUAUUUGGUCGGCUGUUGCCAAGGAAUUAAAUUAUUUUCUUUAUUCAAUAUAAUAGCUGUUUUAAAUUUUCUUCAUUACACAUUUUAUCAAGCCAGAAAAAAAACACGCGUAUUCCUGUCAAAAACUUAGGAUAAAAUGUCACCAAACUGGAACAAAAUAUGUAUGUACAAUAUUAAACGGAGACGGAAACGCAACAUGUACUAAUGAGAAUGGUGGUUAACAUAACGGGAGGUGUAUGUAAAGAAGGUUUCACAUUAUGCUGUUUCCAUGCUAGGCAAGACGGCAAGAGCCAUGCAAGACAGAUUAGGCAACUGCGCAUGCCCACGCGCUAUUUCCAUGCAAUUCCUGUGCUAGACGAAAAAUUAAAACGUUUUCUAUUUUUCACGCUAUUUGAUGCAAGUUGUUGUCAAAUUUCAUAUUACUAACAUAACAAAAUUUAUAGUUUAGAAUAAAACUUAACCUUAUUGUGUAAAUUUAAAUGUUAUUUAUUGGAAGUAAUAAUAAUUUGUGAUUUAUACUUGAAUAUAUUUAAUGUUGGACUGAAAUUUUCAAGUGAAAUAGCUAAAGUUAAUGUUUUGGUAUAUUUCUUUUGUUGGCAGCAAUGAAAGUGGUAUCAAAAAUUGCACAGAAAUAGCUCAGAUGUAAAAAUGUCAGGCUAUGCAAGAGAUAUGCCAUGCAAGACGGACUUGCACAGCAUGAGACUUGCAUGGCAUAUCUCUGGCCUAGCCUGACCUUUUUUACAUCUGAGCUAUUUCUGUGCAAUUUUUGAUACCACUUUCAUUGUUGCCAACAAAAGAAAUAUACCAAAACAUUAACUUUAGAUAUUUCAUUUGGGAAUUUCAGUGUAACAUUAAAUAUAUUCAAGUAUAAAUCACAAAUUAUUAUUAUUUCCAAUAAAUAACAUUUAAAUGUACACAAUAAGGUUAAGUUUUAUUCUAAACUGUAAAUUUUGUUAUAUUGGCAACAUGAAAUUUGACAACUUUCAUGAAAAUAGCAUGAAAAAUAGAACAUGUUUUAAUUUUUCGUCUAGCACCAGAAUUGCUUGGAAAUAGCGCGUGGGCAUGCGCAGUGGCAUGAUCUGUCUUGCAUGGCUCUUGCCUAGCAUGAAAAUACAAUAAUGUAAAACUGCCUUGAAGCUGCUUUUGCGGGUAUGUAAUGUAAACUGAAUGUAUAGUGAGAAUCGACCUUAAGUGCCUAUUAAGUUUGUAGCAUAUUGUGUGCGCUAUAGUCUGAAUUGUGGAAGUAUUGCGAUGGAAAGUUAUUUUAUGGCUGUGUGUGUUCGUGUGCCUAAGUUGAGUGGAACGAGAAUAUGCUUUGUUGAGAAUGUUGUAUCUAUUGGUAAAUGUGUACCAAUGCUUGUGCGGGUGUUGUAAUCAGUUACCAAGAACUACAUAAUGAAAGUGUGUGGACAUUUUGUAGAUAUUUUGUUCUAUAUAGACAAUAUUCUAUUGUGUUUAUUACUAGUUAUUAUUAUACCUUAAGAGCCAUUUUUUAUUGUGAAAUUUGUAAGUUUUCUUCAUUAAUAAACGAAGUUUGGUUAUUA
rnacentral:misc_RNA from 1 species